rnacentral:rRNA from 1 species
GAUGAACGCUGGCGGCGUGCUUAACACAUGCAAGUCGAACGGACGGAGGGAGCUUGCUCCCAAAGUUAGUGGCGGACGGGUGAGUAACGCGUGGGUAACCUACCCUAUGCAGGGGGAUAACAUUUGGAAACAGGUGCUAAUACCGCAUAACCUAAGAGUUUCGCAUGAAACACUUAGCAAAGAUUUAUCGGCAUAGGAUGGACCCGCGUUGGAUUAGCUAGUUGGUGAGAUAAUAGCCCACCAAGGCAACGAUCCAUAGCCGGCCUGAGAGGGUGAACGGCCACACUGGGACUGAGACACGGCCCAGACUCCUACGGGAGGCAGCAGUGGGGAAUAUUGCACAAUGGGCGCAAGCCUGAUGCAGCGACGCCGCGUGAAGGAUGAAUGUCUUCGGAUUGUAAACUUCUAUCAGCAGGGAAGAAUACCAUGACGGUACCUGACUAAGAAGCCCCGGCUAACUACGUGCCAGCCGCCGCGGUAAAAC